rnacentral:rRNA from 1 species
AUACGUAGGGGGCAAGCGUUAUCCGGAUUUACUGGGUGUAAAGGGAGCGUAGACGGUGAGGCAAGUCCGAUGUGAAAACCCGGGGCUCAACCCCGGGAUUGCAUUGGAAACUGUUUGACUCGAGUACUGGAGGGGUAAGCGGAAUUCCUAGUGUAGCGGUGAAAUGCGUAGAUAUUAGGAGGAACACCGGUGGCGAAGGCGGUUUUCGGGACAGUAAUUGACUUUGAGGCUCGAAAGCGGGGGGAGCAAACAGGAUUAGAUCCCCUGGUAGUCCACGCCGUAAACGAUGAAUACUAGGUGUUGGCGACCAAAGGUCGUCGGUGCCGCCGCAAACGCAUUAAGUAUUCCACCUGGGGAGUACGUACGCAAGUAUGAAACUUAAAGGAAUUGACGGGG